rnacentral:SRP_RNA from 2 species
GCCGAGCUCAGUUGCGCGAGCUUGUAACCCGAGUGGGGGCAUUAAAGUGAUGAGGACGUUGCCAUAGCGCUGCGGGCUUGGUUUAGUUGUGCUAUUGCUGGCCCGCCCGUUUCAAAUUGCGUAGUGAAUUGUUGGGGCCUAUGCGAAAGCUGAGCCUCAUUGUCCAUAAUGUGGCAGGCAAAGAGUGAGACUGGCUUCACAAAGCAGCGACAACUGACCGCUUCCAACGGUGGAAGGAUAACGGGCUGCUGCACUACUUAGCCGCUUGGGCCUCGCAGCCUACUUCAACGAACCAUCAUUUUU